AGUGAAGUCAGCUAACACAAGCUUUCGGGCCCAUACCCCGAAAAUGUAGGUUAAACCCCUACCGUCACUA
rnacentral:tRNA from 1 species